rnacentral:rRNA from 1 species
ACGUAGGGUGCGAGCGUUAAUCGGAAUUACUGGGCGUAAAGCGUGUGCAGGCGGUUCAUUAAGUCAGAUGUGAAAGCCCGGGGCUCAACCUCGGAACUGCGUUUGAAACUGGUGAACUAGAGUGCGGUAGAGGGGGGUAGAAUUUCAGGUGUAGCGGUGAAAUGCGUAGAGAUGUGAAGGAACACCGAUGGCGAAGGCGGCCCCCUGGGCCGAUACUGACACUCA